UACGGGGGGGGCAAGCGUUGUUCGGAAUUACUGGGCGUAAAGGGGACGUAGGCGGCCAACUAAGUCCGACGUGAAAUCCCAAGGCUUAACCUUGGAACUGCGUCGGAUACUGGAUGGCUUGAAUUCGGGAGAGGGAUGCAGAAUUCCAGGUGUAGCGGUGAAAUGCGUAGAUAUCUGGAGGAAUACCGGUGGCGAAGGCGGCAUCCUGGACCGACAUUGACGCUGAGGCGCGAAAGCUAGGGGAGCAAACGGG
rnacentral:rRNA from 1 species